rnacentral:lncRNA from 1 species
UCGAAGUUGAGGCGGUGAUUUUAGAUCUAGGGUUUGUGAGAGAAGAGCGGCGCCAUGGCUGCGGCGGUGGUCGUCGGUGUUGUUUGUGUUCUGGAGCGAAGUAGAGGAGGGAAGGGAUGAGGGACGGUGGCGGCGGCCUUGUCCCUGCCAUUCGUCGGAAAUUCAGGGGAAAGGGUGCGGCGUCGCGUGUCUGUGUGUAUGCUAGUGUGUGUGUCGGUGUGUGUGUUCUGGGGAGGUAGAGGCGAGACGAGAGGGGAUGGAAAGGGCGGUGGCUGAAGGCGGCGCUAUUCGCAGGAGUUGAGGGCGAAGCCGCGCAGCUGCAGGAGUGGUGUGUGUAUGUGGUUGUUUUAGUGAAGGA